rnacentral:tRNA from 1 species
CAGGGGGUAUUUUAAUAGAAAAAUAUUAAUUUUGGGGAUUAAUGAUAAGGGGUAUCUCCUUUCUCUCUGA